rnacentral:rRNA from 1 species
GACGAACGCUGGCGGCGCGCCUACCACAUGCAAGUCGAGCGAGAACCAGGACUUCGGUCCUGGGGACAGCGGCGAACGGGUGAGUAACACGUGGAUAACCUGCCCUCGGCACCGGAAUAGCCAGGGGAAACUCGGAUUAAUGCCGGACAGCCCCACAUCCCUGCGGGGCACGUGGGGGAGGGUAGCUUCGGCCUCUGGCGGGGGACGGGUCCGCGGUGGCUUAGCUCGUUGGCGGGGUAAUGGCCCACCCAGGCGACGCUCCAUAGCUGGUCUGAGAGGACGAUCAGCCGCACUGGGACUGAGACACGGCCCAGACUCCUACGGGAGGCAGCAGUGGGGAAUCUUGCGCAAUGGGCGAAAGCCUGACGCAGCGACGCCGCGUGCGGGAAGAAGGCCUUCGGGUUGUAAACCGCUUUCAGGGGGGACGAAGCCACUCGGGUGAAUAGCCCAGAGGGUGACGGUACCUCCAGAAGAAGCCCCGGCUAACUACGUGCCAGCAGCCGCGGUAA